rnacentral:tRNA from 1 species
GCCUGGGUAGCUCAGUUGGUAGAGCGGCGGUAUCGUAAACCGCAGGUCGUGGGCUCGAUUCCCACCCCAGGCU